rnacentral:rRNA from 1 species
AGCGGCGGACGGGUGAGUAACACGCUCGCGUGUAACCUGCCUGUAAGACUGGGAUAACUCCGGGAAACCCCGCGGCUAAUACCGGAUGGUUGUUUGAACCGCAUGGUUCAGACAUAAAAGGUGGCUUCGGCUACCACUUACAGAUGGACCCGCGGCGCAUUAGCUAGUUGGUGAGGUAACGGCUCACCAAGGCGACGAUGCGUAGCCGACCUGAGAGGGUGAUCGGCCACACUGGGACUGAGACACGGCCCAGACUCCUACGGGAGGCAGCAGUAGGGAAUCUUCCGCAAUGGACGAAAGUCUGACGGAGCAACGCCGCGUGAGUGAUGAAGGUUUUCGGAUCGUAAAGCUCUGUUGUUAGGGAAGAACAAGUGCCGUUCAAAUAGGGCGGCACCUUGACGGUACCUAACCAGAAAGCCACGGCUAACUACGUGCCAGCAGCCGCGGUAAUACGUAGGUGGCAAGCGUUGUCCGGAAUUAUUGGGCGUAAAGGGCUCGCAGGCGGUUUCUUAAGUCUGAUGUGAAAGCCCCCGGCUCAACCGGGGAGGGUCAUUGGAAACUGGGGAACUUGAGUGCAGAAGAGGAGAGUGGAAUUCCACGUGUAGCGGUGAAAUGCGUAGAGAUGUGGAGGAACACCAGUGGCGAAAGGCGACUCUCUGGGUCUGUAACUGAC